GACCGCUUGGCGCAAUGGUAGCGCGGUCAACUCCAGAUCGAAAGGUAAGGCGUUCGAUCCGCUCAGUGGUCA
rfam:Angiostrongylus cantonensis strain Taiwan genome assembly, scaffold: ACAC_contig0009232